rnacentral:lncRNA from 10 species
AAAAACUGUGCUACAUAAUUUAUACAUUUAGGAACUCUUAAUCUGUUUUUUUUUUCCAGAAAAACAGCGCUCAUUAAUUUCUGAUGCUUUUUCCAGUAUUUUUUAAUGUAGAAAUACCCUUUCAAGACACAAAAGCAUAAGGUGAAAAAAUACAAAAAAAAAAAAAAAAAGAAAAAUGAUCAUGGAAAUGCAAAUCAAAAUAACAAUGCCAUACCACCUUACUCCUGCAAGAAUGGCCAUAAUCAAAUUC